CACAUUGGAGAGCUGUGAUUAACAACUUGAUGGCAGUGCUGAAUCAGGCACCCUGGAGAGAGAUCCUGAGGACAGGAAAUAGGUGUCUGUGACUCAAUACUAUUGCAUACAAUGAGGAAUUGAUCUUCAGAGAAGGUUCUCUUGCUGCACUCUGCUGCUUACUUCACUGGAGAACCCUGGUCCAUUCUUGCUCUGUAUGUCAGCCAGUGAAUACUACUUGCUGGAGAGUGGGAGAGUGUACAACAGUGAAAGAAGAUUGUGGUCUUCAAGCCUUCCUUUUAGGUUUCCUGGAGGCACUGUGGGAAGAUGGAUGUCAAAUCUUUGGUCCAAUCGAGCAGAGUUAAGGAUCCAGAUAUUGCAAGGCAAGAAAAAGAACCUUCUACAAAAUCAUUCUGCCAGGACGGAUUAAAAUAAUUUUACUUUUGGGAAAUAAAUCACUUCUCC